rnacentral:lncRNA from 1 species
UUUUUGAUCGAGUUUGCGAGUGUACAAUUAUGUUCACUCCGGGGCCUGAAAAGCCCCAUAAUUCAAUUUGCGAUUAUUGUACAUCCGCUAAGUCAGGCAAAAUGUAAAACAAUCAUUACUAUGGAGAAGUCAGCAUGCAAGUAUCUACUUGGUGGGGACGAUCAGUGAUGGUCCUGUACUAUGAAUCAUUUUCACCUGUGGAGUUUCAUGACCUGCCCCCCGAGGUGAAGCAGUGGGAUGGACCGAGACAUCGAUAAUUAGGGUCAUUAGCCAGGGCUGGGAAGCUUCCCACUGGACACAGAUGUCAGUUCAUCAUCUAGUUUUGAUUUACAUUUGAUUGAGUUGUCAGCUAACAUGAAUUCAACAUGAAAUUAACAAAAAAUGUCACAAGGUCAUUGGAUUUAGGUUAAAAGUUGAGAGAAAAAAAUACUAAAUUCCAUUUACGUUGAUGACUUUUUUUCAAAUUCAAUCAGUUUUCCAUGUUGAUUCAACGUCGUCAUAUAAAAUGUUGGGGUUGAAAUGACAUGGAAACAAUAUUGAUUCAACCAGUUUUUGCCCAGUGGGUUGUGGUUUGACUGUCAACAAUAAGUGUCAUCACAAACAGGUUUGUCGAGGACCUAUUGUGAAAAAGGCUUUCUCUGGCAGGUGUAGAUUUAAUUAUGUUCCCACUAGAAACGAGGCAAGCCUGCUAACUGACUUAACGUGUACAUCCCGUCAUGCCAAUACAGAAUAGGAGAAAUCCUGUCGCUUCUCUUAUUUUUCACAUUUAUAAAACUGAGCUCAUUUAGGCCCCUUCAGUUGAUUAUUCUGUCUGUAAAUUAUUGUAAUAUGGUGCAAAAAUAUCUACUUAAUAUGAAGCCUAUAUACUGGAGAUGAUAAAGCAAUGCCACGAAUGGAGAAAAGUCAAGUCAUGUGAAUAUGCCCAACAGCGCCCCUACACUCCUGGGAAGUAUCCUACAUGGUGUUUUGGUUUGUUUACAUCUAGGUAUAUCAAGUGCGCACUGUCAUGCAAUCACAACACCACAUAUGUCAGUAUGGCCUUCAUUCACAUAACAGUCAUAAGAUUCAUAUUAAUAUAAGUAAGUAGCACGCAUAGUCCUUUUAUAAACGCGAACUUAUUAUAAACAUGACUAUAGUCUACAGUAACUUCAUUUAAUCAGUAACAACUUGUUUGUAAACAACUACUUUUUUUGUUAUUUUUCUGUCUCGUUUUUAUUAUUGGGCUCUGUUGUGUUUGAUGUUUUAUACCGCCAUGAGGAAAUAAGUAGUGACCAUGCCAAUAUUAAGUGCAAGUGCGUAACAUCCUCCUCGCUCCUAUUUACGCACAUCCAUCUCUUGCGCAGCAUCCUAUUCCCAAUCCCCGCUUCACGCUCCAUCUCGUCGCCAACAGUUUUAGCCUGCCUAACAUUCCUCUAUCCAAAACAAAUAGCAUGAAGCCGAUUACUUAAUAUAGGCUAUGUUUCUGAGGGUUUCCAGUAUCUGCGGCGUAGGCUACAAUUCCCACCGGAUUCCAUUGCAUUUGUCACAAUAGCACUCGCUCUGACGCAGACAAAUGUAACUAUUUACCUGUCGCUCAUAAUUGAGAAUGGUAAUUGUAUUCGAUUAGUUUACUACCUCCACUAUAUGUAUCGUUUACUAAAUUGGCAUUUUCAUAUUUAUUUGAAAGUGAAGAGCAUUUUAAGAGGACCAUAUCCACAAUCACUAUAUUAUAGGCUAUAUCAGAUUUGUUUAUAGAUGUUUGUGAUAACACAUUGUAUUAGUUAAAUGUGUCGUUACAACAUCGUUUGCAUUAGGCUACUGAAAUUGGCAACACGUUUCUGUAAUUCCUAGAAUAAAAUUAUGAUUUAGCCUGAUAGCUUACCUCAACGUAUGUCUUCUUUCCUCCCUUGGCGACCCUUUCGGUUAGAUCAUGUUUUCAAUAACUGGAUAGCACCUGUUUCCAUGAAGCACCCCUCACAUUAUUACAGUAUCCCCAUCGAUUUUUCCAUAGCGCAACACGAGAAGCCCGCCCCUGACACUCCCCCUUCUGCUGGUUGGCCAGGCCUUGGUGAAUUAUUUUGCCUACGUCGGAAUCACAUGUGGUUGACGCAUGUUUACAAACAUUGGAUGAGAUCACAUGGUGAUGGGACCCAGUUUACAGUAAACCAUUCGACAUUAAGCAUAAAUUAGUGCUCGUCUGCUUGUAGGCCUAAAAACCGAAAUGAGUUACCUCUGGUUCUUUCGGACAUUCCUAUGGGGAAAGUUGAUGGCGUUUUGGGAUAAACACCGAAAAUAAAGUAUAAGGGUAACAAAGGCUUAGGAGAUCUUAUACGUUUUGUUCUAUGAAAUAAUAUCAGUCAGUCAACAUUACCUGUAUGAAUUAUUAAGCCUUUAUGUGCUUGUUUUGAUUAAACAAAUGCUUCAAAAAGUUAGCUGAUUUAAGAUUAUCUCAUAGAACUAAAAACGUCUAAGAUCUCCUAAGCAUGUGUUUACAAUAGACCGUAUUUUCGGUGUUCAUCAAAAAACCGUCAGAAACCUCAUUAAUUGACCAACUAGCCAUGCAGGACUUAGUGCCUACAAAAAUACUGCAUUACUAUAGCUCGCCAGACUGUAGUCCUAAAAAAACGGAAAUGAAACCUCUGGUUCGUUCCGCCAUUACUAAGGCAUUGUGAAUGCAGAAAAUAAGGUAUGAGGUUAAGAGAUCUUAUACAUUUUGUUCUAUAUUAUUAUUAUUAUUAUUAUUAUUAUUAUUAUAACAGUCAGUUAAAACAUGACCUGUAUGAAUUUUGAAGCCAUUAUGUGCUUAUUUUGAUUACGUAAAUGCUUCAAAAUUCACAAAAAGUGAUGUUAGCCGAUGAAUAUUAUCUCAGAGAACAAAACGUAUAGGUCUACAAAGCCUGUGUUUACAACAGACCUUCUUUUCCGGAUUCAUCCAAAAACCCUACAAAAUCCCAUUAAUUUCCGUUAGUGCCUACAAAAAGACGGCAUUACUAUUGCUCUCUAUACUAGUAGUUGUAAAGUAUUAUAUAAUCCCUUCGGCCUCAAAAUAAACAUUCACAUGGCUAUACUAUUGCCUUUAACAUGUUUAUAAUAGGUCUAUGGGAUUCUAUAAGCUUAUAGUAGGAUGGUAUAAGGUACAAAAGCAUUUUUCAGAUAUUAAAAUGUAUUACAUAAGUAUUACACAAUGUCUAAUGUUCUUGGAGAAAGUGGUACUUGAUGUUCUGUUCCCUCCUGUUUUGGUAUGCGGCAGCGGGAGAAAAAUUUGUGCCAGCCAGGGAGUUCGAUUUAGCUCGCCCGGGUUUCCCCAUAGAGAGGAGCUUACCCAGAGUUAAAACGGAUUGUAUUCGUU